AAAGCAGAGGGGGACCUGGGCUGUGGAGCAGAGACAGACCUUGAAGCAGAGGGGGACCUGGGCCAUGGAGCAGUGACAGACCAUGGAGCAGAGGUGGACCUGGGCCAUGAAGCAGUGACAGAUCAUGGAACAGAGGGGGACCUGGGCCGUGGAGCAGAGACAGACCAUGAAGCAGAGGGGGACCUGGGCUGUGGAGCAGAGACAGACCUUGAAGCAGAGGGGGACCUGGGCCAUGGAGCAGUGACAGACCAUGGAGCAGAGGUGGACCUGGGCCAUGAAGCAGUGACAGAUCAUGGAACAGAGGGGGACCUGGGCCAUGAAGCAUUGACAGACCAUGAAGCAGGAGGGGACCUCGGCCAUGAAGCAGUGACAGAUCAUGGAACAGAGGGGGACCUGGGCCAUGAAGCAGUGACAGACCAUGGAACAGAGGUGGACCUGGGCCAUGAAGCAGUGACAAAUCAUGGAACAGAGGGGGACCUGGGCCAUGAAGCAGUGACAGAUCAUGGAACAGAGGGGGACCUGGGCCAUGAAGCAGUGACAGACCAUGGAACAGAGGGGGACCUGGGCCAUGAAGCAGUGACAGACCAUGGAACAGAGGGGGACCUGGGCCAUGAAGCAGUGACAGACCAUGGAACAGAGGGGGACCUGGGCCAUGAAGCAGUGACAGACCAUGGAACAGAGGGGGACCUGGGCCAUGAAGCAGUGACAGAUCAUGGAACAGAGGGGGACCUGGGCCAUGAAGCAGUGACAGAUCAUGGAACAGAGGGGGACCUGGGCCAUGAAGCAGUGACAGAUCAUGGAACAGAGGGGGACCUGGGCCAUGAAGCAGUGACAGAUCAUGGAACAGAGGGGGACCUGGGCCAUGAAGCAGUGACAGAUCAUGGAACAGAGGGGGACCUGGGCCAUGAAGCAGUGACAGAUCAUGGAACAGAGGGGGACCUGGGCCAUGAAGCAGUGACAGAUCAUGGAACAGAGGGGGACCUGGGCCAUGAAGCAGUGACAGAUCAUGGAACAGAGGGGGACCUGGGCCAUGAAGCAGUGACAGAUCAUGGAACAGAGGGGGACCUGGGCCAUGAAGCAGUGACAGAUCAUGGAACAGAGGGGGACCUGGGCCAUGAAGCAGUGACAGAUCAUGGAACAGAGGGGGACCUGGGCCAUGAAGCAGUGACAGAUCAUGGAACAGAGGGGGACCUGGGCCAUGAAGCAGUGACAGAUCAUGGAACAGAGGGGGACCUGGGCCAUGAAUUUAAUGCAUAUGUUGAGAAUCUGAAUUGUAUGAUGGUGUUUCUAUCCAGCAUUUUUAUGCAAUAUCCUCAAAUAUUUAAAAAAAUAUGUGGAUAG
rnacentral:lncRNA from 1 species